UCAAACGCCCUCGAUAACAGAUAGUAGCAACACGGAAAAAGAAAUAACAGACAGCGCUGGGGAGAGACGAACGACAAAGGAGAAGGGAGAGGGCCAGCGACAGCGGCACCAUCACCGGGGACCGCGGGAAUUGAGACGUGUUCGCAGGCAGAGGGACCACGCCUCUGUCUCUGUCUCUCUCCCUCGCCCUUUCCUUUGCGUCCUGUGCGGCUUGCGCCUACGCGGCGGAUUUACCGUCCUCCGCUUUCUUCCACACUUGGCCACUGCGCUGCUGGUUAGAGGGCGGCCAAGCAGAGGCCAUAGGAGGCGGCGGGGGGGGAAGGGGAACACCGAAGCCUUCCCUGCUCGCGUGGCAUUUCGCUUGUGGUUUGGCCGUGAUUUCGCGCACGCUCGAACUGGUGGUGUGACCUGGCGGUAGCGAACAAGCGUCGAAGGGCGCCACGUAAAGGUGAAGAGCUCCCCGUCCCUACUACGCCUCCAGGCACUUACUUACGCACGCUUUAAAUCAUCAUCUCCCUCUCUCUGCGUGUGCCUGUACACAUCGAUCCAUCCACCCCUCCUCCAUCCAUCCUGUCCGCCGUUUUCCGACGCUCCUCGCUGCGCGCAUCAGUCAGAGGCGUUCUUUUCGUGUGGUGUUGUGUUGGUGCCGUUUCUUCGAAGUUUGUUGCAAGGCACUGCUCUCUGUCGCUGACUGCAUCCGGCCGUCUCUCUGCGUCUGGGUCUGCGCACACGCAAACCACGUACAGGGCGUCCUUCGCUCUCGCCGUGCUUCUCCUUCCCUGGCCCUUCCGAACCUUGCUCUUUAGCAUGCUUGUAAUGCACUCCUCGACAAGUGGCGGCGUUGCGGCGCAGCGCCGACGUCGUCUGCCAGCGCUGUUCUUCAGCCUCUUGAUAUGUGUGUACUUGAGCAGUGGCAGUAUCGGCAGUAGGUGGGGGCUUCUCCCAGCGCACGCCGCCGCUCCUCAGCACUCCUCCUCCCAGGUUCGAAGCACCCAGAGUAGCGAUGGCGCUAGUCACGUCUACGCAAGUCUGAAGGAGUUGAAUGAGCUGGUGCUCGGCGCGCCGCACACAUUUGAAGCGGUGACCAGCGAUCUCCGCGAUGUGGCAGUGACCGUGCCGACCGACGAGGAGGUCGCUGCGGCUGUGCAGCACGCACGCGAUGAGGGCCGCCGCGCAGGCCUCUCUGCACAGGCCCAAUAUCCAGCAUCAGCCGGUGAGGGCAUCACCGAUGCAGCGAGCGCUGAGGCGACGGCGUCCAUGUGUGCGACGGACUUUACGUGCCCCCGCUCGUCCGUGGCGUGGGCCAGCGGCUCCUUCACGGCUGGAGAGUUGCUCACGCCGCACAGUCUCUCACUGCCGGUCGGUCUGACGCUGAAGCUCAGCCUGUGCUGCCAGUACAGGUUCGAUGGCACGCUGCUGCGGAGCGCGGAGCUGUACGACAUUUUUCUUCAAGAGCUGCUGCGGGCCUCGCCGUUCCAAGUACUAAGCGCAGCCGAGAAGCGGGAGCUGUUCCCGCAGGCGCUGAUCUUUGCCGUCGACACUUGGGGCCGCCGACGGGUGUACAACACCAGCUACGUCCUGACAGACGCAGAUGUCGCAGAGCACAACGAUGGAGAUGGUGACGUGCUGGUGCUGACAACAGGCGCUCUCUCCCCAGCGGCGCUGCUCAAGCUGAUAACAUCUUCCCCAUCGCUUUCUGCUGGCCGAAGGAGUGGAUUAGGCCCCAAUCACGAGGCGUCCUCCGCUGAUCCGGCGAUUGCAGCACGGACCGGCGCUCGCGCUGUUCCAACACGAGGAAAGGUGGAAGCGGAGAGUAGCGAAACGCUGGACACGGCAUUGCUAGCGGCGGACACCGACAUGCAGCUUCACAUUACGAGCCGCGUGGUCAAGUGCAAAUGCCCGCACAUUCUGACUGUAAUGCCGCCGCUGCACAUGCAGCGAGAUGCGCUGCCACCGAUCAAUAUUGUAGGACUCGGCUCUCACUGCGGCGUUCCAACAUCGUCGAACAACACCGACGGCGCCGAUGUGCCUCAGUCGGCACACCCGCCGUUUUCCGCGUCGCAGCGCAUUCGCAGAGUCCGUGGCGCGGACGGCACCGUUGCCUUCGCCGUUUCCUUCGAGGUCACCCCGCCAGUGCCCCCCACCUCGCUGGUGACUUGGACAGUGCGCAGCGUAGUCGCGGAGGGCGUGGAGGCCGGCAGCGCCGCCCCACAGGGGGAUCGGUCUUGGACUGAUAGACAUCAUAGCGGCAGCAGCAUCAGAGGUCCCGGCACUUCCCCUACAUACAGCCCGCUCAUCUUGCGGCACUCGCGGCUGCUGCCAGUACCACACUACUCUGCUAGCAGCACGGGGGGCGACAUCGGGCCUUUCGCGGUAUCGACCUCAACAGACAGUCGCCUGCUGCGCAGCUCUGCUACUAGUCCGUUCUUUGCUGUCGAGCCGAACGUUCGCUACGAAGUCUCUGUCCGCAUCUCACGCCAGCCGCUCGAUCCAGCUCUUCUCGCCCGUGGGGCCAGAGCUUCGGGCGGAGAUCAGGGACAGGGUGAGCCUGCGGUGGGUUUCAGAGCUGCUGAGACGGCCUCCUGGCCAUCUGCCGCCACCGCGUCGGCUGAGCGCGUGGCGCAUGGCCAUUUCGUCCUUCGGCUGCCGUUGAACCGCACAUGGGCGCUGCCGUCUGUCCACCCUGCGCCACACUUCGGGUUUCGACGCUCCAUGCGACUGACGAACCGCACGAUGGCGCGUGCUGCCGUGAUGGCCGCCCUCGACCCGUUCUACCCACUACACUCCGCCUCCCCCACGUCAUCAUUGGAGUCUGCUGGUAGCGCGAGCGCUGAGGCCAGCGGUGCUGGGUGGUUCGGUGGAGCUGGACACCGCUUGGUCGGUGGUGGCAGCAGCGGCGCUGUGCUCGGCCGCCGGCGGCCCUUGGCCUACUACGGCUACUGGGAGAACGCACCGUUGCGCGAUCAGCCGCUGCCACAGCAUCCCACUCGCGUGCUGGCCAAUCCGUACACGAACACGUCUGCGCCAGCUCGGAAAGCCGACGACACAGACGGGGAUGGCGAGGCCGGCAGCGCAUUGGUGCCUCUCUUUCUCGGCCGCAACCUUGUCGCCUACCUUGUGCGCGACGUCGACGAUGUCUGUGAUCCUGUCGUCCUGGAGAGGCGCGAAGUGUGGGCGGUUCAGGCCCACAUCACCACCCCUGGGCCAGCGACGGCGUGCGGGGAACAUCAGGACGUGUCGGCGCUGAUUCUGCGGCAACUGCUCCUGCGAAUGCGAGUGGAGCCGAAGCUGGAGGUUACCGUGCCGAAUACGACGUGGCUCGCCGACCCACAGCAGCUUGCGGAGGCAGCGCCCGAAGGGUCCUACCGCUGCGAGGCACGCAGCAGUCCGCCAGCUACGUCGAUGACAGCGAAGGACACGGGCGCCGCCUCGCUGGCCGUGUGUGUCGCGGCCCCCGAUGCGCAACGGGACGCCAGCGAGGUGCAUGCCUCUGUACGCAUGAGUCAUCGCGGCGUGUACGAGGUGGUGUGGGUGGCGCGAGUUGCCGUGCGCGAGGAGCGGCUGAUUGGUACGGCAAACCUGGACCCACUCUACACCAGAGUCAUCCCAGUGACCGCGAGUGCCAAGGCGGCAGCCUCUGGACUGUUCAUUGUGGAGGUGUAUUCUCGCCCGCUGCUGGUGGUACGACGUCUGGCGAGCUACCCGCGCGUGGUCGCCGUGGAGCUGCCUAUGCAUGCACGGCGCUGGGUGGUGUCGGCUCCACGUGCUCUCGCAGACCUAACAUCGCCGCUCGCAGCUUCUUCAACUUCUCCCGCAGCUCCGCAGCAGCGCCAAAGUGCUCCCCGUGGCGGCGGCAGCAGCGGCGCAGAUGUUUUGAGCAACAACGCACCCACCGGCUACUGGCGCUCGAGCCCCCCGCUGCGCGUCCUGUCAGUGGAUGAGCAGCUCACAGCGGAGCUGGACACGAACAGCGUGCCCAACGUGCAACGCAUGCUGCCAAACGGCACCCUCGAGUUUGUCGCGCAGGACACUGGCGAAGCACUGUCGCUGACCGUCGUCAUCGACGGAGCGGUACACUCCUUUGCCUACACGUCGCAGUGCCCGGACACGCACGUCGAGUACCAGAUAUACGUGGUUCCCCUCCCACCCCCGCCCAUCGUACCGGCGUUCGCGCCCAUCUACACGGAGGAGGGGUGCGUGCUGCUCGUGGCACCGCGUGAGGUGCGUAAGGAUGAGGUAGCGGAGUGGCUCGUGCCGCCGUGCGUGUCGGCGCGGCACCCGCCGUACCUGGUACAGCGCACUAUCCCGGUCGAGGAGCAGGAGGAGACGCAGAUCAUCACGACCGCCGUGGAUGGUGGGAGCCCGCUGGCCCUCACGACUGCGGCUGCCGCAUCUAGACCUGUGACAGCGUUGAUGGCGUGCGGCGUGGAGGCGUAUCACCACUGUGAUGUCGUGUGGUCUGUGCGCAACCUCGUCGCGGCAGUGGAGAAGACAUACUCGCUGCGGCGAUGCCAGCGGCCACCUGACGUCGUCUUUCACGAAAAAGGCCGUCACCAGCGCAUCUCGUAUCCGCAUGCUAAAGUGUUUGCACUGCCCUCGCUGACUGAGGUCGCCUACACUCGCGUCAACGCCUCGGUCUUGGCGUCUGUAGGUGCUGCAUCCGCGUCAACGGACGCGGCUAAGGUCGUCAGUCGCCACCGCCGCCAUCGCCGUGUGAUACCCGUUGUCGGCUUUGCAGCCGACAUUGGGUACUCCUUCAACUACACAGGUCAGCAGAACUACUUCGAGAUGGUCCUGCGCCCUGUUCAGGAUGCGGUUGCUCACCAGCUCUGGAACACGCAGCACGAUUACGUGGCGGGCGAUGACGGGCCAAUGGUGUUACGCAGGCGAACCGGCAUGAGCGUGCAGCAGGAACAGGAAGACACGCCGACGGGCGGUGCCGGCACUGAGGAGUUGGAUGUCGACGCCGCAACCGCCGGCAGCGAGACUGUAGAGGCCGAGGGCGCGUUCUGGGGUGAGUACCAUGCCAACAAGGCGUCCGAAUCACGUAAGACGUUAACGUCGCCGGCAGAGCGUGCUGCCGAGCUGGCGGAGCAGCAAGCACGCCGCCGUCGCCGCCGCCAGCUCGAUGAGCAGCUCGACACCAAGCUGGAAGAGACAUACACACUUCUGCACGAGGCAGAGGCGCGCCGGCUGAGAGUCGCGGGGGUGGGCAACGCAUCGCUGUUCUUGAUGGACUAUGUCGUGCGGAGCUCUCCUGAGCGGUUGAGCGCCGAAGUAGAGGCCGAGAAGCAUGAGUUUGUGCGGCGUGGCAUGUGCGUGGAGAAGCCGGGCUCCGCUGCCGUUCUCGCUGUCAACCCCCGCGGCGUCGUCCGCGAGGACGAGCGCUACGGCACGGUGUUGCCUCCACCGCCGCCCCCUGCUGUUGCUGUCUUGCCGUUCUGCGCCCCGCAGUACACCUUCGCCCGCUACCCGGAGCUGUUUUCCGUGUACGGUUACGAAUUCACGUGGGCGUGCCCUGACGCCACGGUCAUGACGGUCGAGAAGCACCACCCGACGCACUCGGUGCUUUAUCACACUCCAGAGCGCUACGGCAGGGCCGCGGCGGCGCCGCCGGCGAAUGCCAGCGAGGCGCUCUGCCAGCUGACCGUCGCUAACCACAUCACACACACAGAGCAGCGUGACUGGUUUCUAGUAAGGCGCGUGUAUCCGAGUCCGCUGCCAGCCACGGCCCUUGUCGUGCUCAGUCACAACGCAGCCGACUCGCUGCAGGUGGUGCCGCCGCCGUCGUCGGCGACGCCCAAGUCUCGGCCGAGCCGCACUAGCAGCAGUCGUGGUACAGUGAGUAGAAGCGACACGGCACAGCGACAGGCCGCCGCUGCACCGCCUGUCAUCAUCACCAUGGAAAAGCUUUACACUACACCCGCCAACACGUAUCCCUUCGCCAGGGCGCGGCACAUUGUCGGCAAGAGCGCCGUCCUGCACGUGGACGCCCCAUCAGACCCGGCCAUGGCGCGGUGGGCUGUCACGAGCGUCGUCCCGGCCGCUUCCAUCACGGUUGGAUCGCAGGUGCUCAUGGACAACGUCGAGUUUCAACCGCUGCCCCUUCACCCGGCUGCCGUGGCCCGCGACAGAGGCGGCUCGACGGUUCUCAUCAAAGGGCUGCAUACGCCGGGGCUCUACACGAUCACGCACUCUCUGCCGGAUCCCGAGAACCCGAACGUGUGCCCGCCGGUGGCUCUUACGGAGAUGCUCGACGUGUUCCACGCGCAGGUGGUGGAGAAGGAGCUGUAUGUGUGCGGCGACACCGCGGCACUGCAGGCUGUGCCCAUCCCGCGCGAGAUCGCACAUGAGUUUGUUGGCCAGUGGGAGGUGAUGUCGCUGGCGACGGACGAGAACACGGUGUGGACGGCGGACGCGAACUUUACGGGAAUCCAUUUUGAUCAGGGCACGCAGGCGGAGACGCUGGUGCAUGGCCUGCCGUUCGGCGUCGUGACAGUGCGCUGGGCCGUCUACCGGCUUCUCCCGUUACCUACAGAUGCCGCCUCCCCACCGCCGUCUUUGACAGCCUCAGGCGAGUACGUGAGCGGCCUUGGCACAAGUGAGCGCACUGCGUCAGCGGCAUCAGAGGCGCAGCAUCGCGUUCUUGUCGACCACGACACAGUGGAGGUGUUUGUUCUGACAGAGAAUUUGCCUUCGCAUCGCCUCGUGACUCUGGCUGAUCGCGCGACGAUCCUGACGACGUCCUCGACGCAGAACUGGCACUUGGAAGCGGAGAUGACGGGCCCCGGUGCGACUGCGGCUGUGGAUGGUGCGACACAGGCGCGCAUGAGUCUGCGCAGCAUCCACAACUACAGCAACGGCGAAGCAGCGGCCUUUUUUUUCCCCUCCGACGGCUCUACCGCCGACGCCCCCGCGCAUGCGGCGUUCCACACCUACUUCGGUCUGCAUCCUCGCCCUGGCGGUGGGGUGCUCGUGCUGGAACAGCUCCCUGUUGGCACGGUGUACCUCCACUACGACCUUGUGCCGUCUCGCAGCAUCUUUGGUCGGAUGGAGGGGCAUAUGUGCACGUUGAAGGGCCACUACGAGGUGGAGCGCGUCUCCGCCUACCUGACCGCAACAACCUCCAUGGACCACGAGUGCGACGGCUACACCGGCAAGGGGCGCAUCACGCUGUGCUUGCACACCGAGGGAGCACCGGCAACGGAAAGUGACGGUUUGAAAGAGAAAUGGCGGAAACCCCCUCGUCCGCCUCCGCGGACGAAGCGGCAGCCACAGUCGUCUCGCGAAGACGUGCAGUUUUGGCAGAGCCAGGUUCGCCUUAUCGACCCUGCGACACUGGAGGACACCGUCAAGCGCGGUGCGCGCGAGGUGGAGCGGCUCAGCGGCGGGCGGUGCGUGACGCCGUGGUGGGUAUCACCGACGACACGGUGGUUCAACCCAUCCUACACCUCAGCGAGUACUGCCUCCUUGCCAGGCCGGUGCAUAUCAUUCACGGUCAAGGCAGGCCGUCACUUGUCACCGCGCGAGGUGUCGCAGCCGCUGUUCAUGGCAGUGCCGCGGGCUUCUUCGCCGUCCACACCGACGUUGGCGGUGGCCGCAGGCGUGUACACGGAUCGGGCGGGAGACGGCAGCUCUACAGGAGGUGCAAUGCAUACCACUGGCGUGUGCCCCUUCCACGGCGACUUCAUCUCGACCCGCAUCAUCGAUGGCGCGCCGGGCGCUGAGGCGGGUUUGACCGCUGGCACUAGCGCCGCACGCGGGAGGAAGAAGGGGAUUGGGCACGACGGUGCCGACGCUGCGACAUCGCCCUUUGGCCUCUCACAGUUGUUUCAGCUGGGGCUGCCGCAUACCUUGGGUGACGCGGCUUUUGCCUUCGCCUCUACGUUACUGGGCCGUGAUGGCAGUGCGGAGGCAGACGACGGCAGCGACGAGGACGGCGUAUGGGGUAUUCGCUAUCUGCCGGUGCUCCAACCUGCGACACUGCGGCGCGCCAACGCGACGAUGAGGCCGAUGGUCGGGUUGCGCGGGGUGCAGGACGACGUGACGUACGAGGUGAACAUUAGCGGCCGAACCGCGACCUUCGGCAGGCCGGCGCAGGAUUCAGCGGAGCAGGCAUCAGAGGCCAUAGUGCUGCUGCGGCUUGACCUUAGCCACCCGAGGCAACUUGGGGGCUUUAUUGUCUCUGCGUCUGCGGCGACGGAGCUGAAUGCGACGUGGAGGCCAGCGAUGGCGACCGUGUCCGGUGAAGGAGCGCAUGACGCCAGCCAAGGUGAGGCCGACACGGCUUCCAGCAGCAGCAGACCUGCGCCGGCGACAGGGAGUCCGCACCACAGCUUGCUCCACAAGUGUGUAGACGGCACCGUUCGCGGUGCCGACGUUCUGCAGUACUGGACCGAGACGAACCGCCCCGACGGCCGCGUCGACCGCACGGCGCAGGAAUGGCUAGACUACGCCUUCGCCGUGCGCGACGCCACCGUGCCCUGCGACGUGCUCUUCGGCUCGCUGGAUCACCUCAUCUCCGACGUGCACGGCGACGGCUCCUCAGCAGCAGCAUCGGCUUCUCCAUCUGCUAGCGGCGGCUGGUACUCUAAGCGCGCGCGAAGAGGGCGACAACGCAUUGAACUGCGCCAAGGGGCGUCGCCCUUACAUCAGCAGCAGCAGUACAUAUCACUUGCCGAAAUGGAGCGACAGGUGGAACGCAUUCGCCGCCAGUGGAAGUGGACCGCCGACGGCAUCGACGUCACUGGGCUGCCGGCCGAUCUGCAGCACGCCUUGAGCCACCGCCGUGUGACGUCGACGCAGCUGCGCGCGAUCGAGGCGGCAAGGAAGGCGCGGCAGGAGGCUGAGGAGGCCGCACUAGCAGAGGAGACGCGUCAGCAGCAGCUGCACCAGCGCAAGCUGCAGAACUCACCGUCGCACUUGUCACCGGCGCAGCGGCUCGAGAACGCACUUCGGGCCUACCAAGGUGUCGCGCAGGGAAGCGAGGUGGCGGUGCUGCGGAUGCGUCUGCCACUCAAGGAGUCCUUCGCCGUUCCUUAUGACAUCUUCCUACGAACGGCACUGCACAAGGAUGUCCUAUGCGGCACCGCCAUCGAUCCGCCGCCUGUCAUCACUGGCCCGACGGUGCAGCCGACUGUGACGAACCCGCACUCGCUCGUGCCACUCGGCCGUGUGGAGGUGCGCGACAUGGCACCGGUGCUGUCGGUGUACCCGCCGGUGGUGAAGCAGUGCGAGGUGGAGGGCGGCAUGCCGGUGCUAACCUUCGAGCUUACGGGGGCCAACUUUGCCCGGGCCGCUCUUGAGGCCGACGCGGUGACGCUGGAGGAGAUUCCGAAUCCUGCCUUGGCAAAGGCAGAGCAUGGCGCGCCGAAUCACCCCAAUGUGGGGCUCACUGCGUGCAUCGAGCAGAUGCGGCGAGGCCUGAAGGCCGCGGUGGAAACAGGCUCUCGCAAGCGGCUGUAUCUGCAGCUGCGCGCGUGCCCCACCUUUAAGAUGCUGACUCUAGAGGAGUACAACGAGCACCAGGACAGCGAAGCACUGCUGCGGCGUCUGCAGCUCCCGCGUUACUUGCGCGUGACCGUGCGUGACGCGAUUUACCCUGACGGCUUUCUGGCGCCGUCGUCGCGAACGGCGGGCAGAGGCGCGUCAAACGCGUCGGCGUGGCGGUGGAUGCCCGGGCGCGAGCUGCCCACGAGUGUGGCAGCCACUUCCACCGACGCGAGCUUCGUUGUGGAGGUCCGCCCAACGUUGGCGCGGCUGCACCUGCGCUCUUCUGCUGAUAUGACGCCGCCUGACGCCGCCGCCGAAGGCAGAGCCGGCAGCGUGCACCGCAGGCGGGAGAGCGGCAGGUGGUGGGGUCGCCGCGGCAGCACCGCUGUAUCAUCGAAACCCGACCCUGCGACGACGGCGGCGGCGACCGAGAUGGCGCAGCAGACUGGGCCGUCCUUCGACCCGACCCCGGCUCGCCCACUCCUGUUGUGUGAGGCGGACCUCCGACGCUAUGGCUUCCAGCUCGGCAUCGAGCUUAUCGGCGACACAUGGACACCGACAGUCGGCGAGGACGGCCCCAGUGCCGGCUCGUAUGCGAGAGCUGCCGCCGAUGACGGCACCAUCGUCUUCGACGAUCACCAGCGACAGGCAAACUUGCCGCGACAGCGCGCCCCACCGAACGUGGCGCUUAUUAACAGUUUCAGCGUUGUGGAGCAUCACAGCCUCGACAGCAGUCAUCACCUGUACAUGAAGGGGGGUGGGGUGUACCGAUCUCACUUUAUCAACUACCUCUUCUCGGAGCUGCUCAGCGACCCAGCCGUCCUGCAGGGACAUCGUUUUGUGUACCGCUACAACGACACCUUUGCCGGCAUAACAAUACCUCCACUCUCUGCCGACCCCGCAGCGGCGACUUCGCGUCAAGGCCAUCGUGAUGGUGGUUGGCUCAGCGGACAUUCGCGUGACGCGGGGGCUGCGGAGGCCGAGGAAUACAGCGACCUGCGCGCUGCACAGGUGCGGCGAAGUGCGUCAAAGCAUCUACCGACUCGCGGUAGCGCCGGUGACGCGACGGCGACGGCGACGGCGACCGGCAGUGGCGAGACGACCGCCGCAACGUUUUCGAGGGCCUUUCCCGCUGUUCGGCAGUUUUGCAAGGUCGAGGAGAUCCUCUUUGCCGUCCCCGGCAUCGCCACCGAGUGCAGGGGGUGUCUACUGGCCGACACCACCUUUUAUGUGGCAGGCGAUCUGACGGGCAUGUGGACUGCGUCGCCUCUUUCCGGUACUGCCUCUGCUGCUACGGGCACGAUAUCUGCACUGGUGUCGGCGGCUAGCACCACAACCAGCGGCACACCUGCGGGCGAGGCAACCAUGGCACUUUUCAGCUGGACCGGCGAAGCCUACACCCGUCCGCUCCUUCUACCGUGGGACAGCGCCACGCGUGUGCCGCGACGCUGGCAGUUCGACUGGCUCUGCCCCGCCGCCGCCCACCGCGCGCUUGAGCGCCUUGCCUUGCAGCUCACAGGCAGCAGCGAUGGUGCAGCGCUCUCCAUCGUCAUGGAUGUCGUUCUGUAUCGCAUUCGCGGCGUCGAUGGUGAGGCACUGCCGGCGGCGCAGCGACCGAUGGUAUUGCUUUCGAGUACCCCGGCUGAGCUGGCAGAUGUGCUACGGCAGAACCACGCGCACACUCGCCGUGUCGGCGCCAGCGCUGGGCAGACGACGCUUGCUGCUCCGCUUGUCCUCGGCGUGAACCAGACAGCUGUAGAUGCGGCUUACACGCAGCUCGCCGAUGACACGCUGCGACGCCGCCGACGUGCCCAGACGACGCUCGAGUACCACCGAGACGACCGCUACGCUGCUGGGCAGCUGGUCGUGAAUGCAUCUGUGUUUUUGAAGCUGUGCACAAACGAGGCAAGCGAGGCUGGCGACGGCGCAGCGUCGUGCAUGGUCGUCGCCAUCACCGAUGCUCUGCUGACAGUGGAGGCGCCGAGAGUGGCCAUGCCGUCUGCCUCGUGGGCGCGACGGCUGUUCGGACGCGGUGGCGUGGGCAUAGGCGCUGGCAGUACGGCAAGGAAUGCAUCCCGCGAAGCUGCGCCGUCACCGGUGUCGCCUACGGUGCUGCUCUACCAUGCCUUUAUGGCCUUCCUCGUGCAUGAGCUUCUGCCGUUGCUCGGCAUCGUUGUCGUUGUGGCGCCGCCGGGCACUGCUUCCGCUCUGUCGGACUCCCUCCUGGAAGAUCAGCGCCGCGCUCACGUGGCCUUCACCAUCAUGGCUUUCCUGUCCUUUGUCUUUGUCUACGCGUACGGGCCGACGACGGCGUGGCUGGGGCUCUCUAUGGCGGUGUGGUGCCUCUCUCUGUACUACAGCCGCCGUGCUGAGCUUGUUUUGGUGUUUAUUGCCUCGGCCGUCUACACGCAUUACCUCAUGUGAACGGAAGGCGGGGAAGGGCGGGCGAGGGAAGGGGUUGAGUGUCGAGGCAGCGAUGAGGACGACGGAUGUGUCUGUGCGUGUGUUUCUCUCGUGCGCGUGUGCCGAUGCGUGCCCCAUGAGAGGUGCGUGGAUAGAUGGCAUGUCUUGUUUCGACGUAAUGGCCGAGUGACUCGGAUGCACGCUUAACUUCCAGGCCUAUAAGCGGCUCGUCUCUGUCGCUCUCUCCCUGGUGCUCGGGCAGAGAGCGACAGAGUGCACAACAAGGACAGACUAAAAGUGUGGACAGUGACAAGGAACGCGCGCUGCGCAGAAGGGGCGCGUGCUUGUGUCGGCGUGCGUGCAUGGCGGCGCACAUGCACACGCGUCAUCAUCUUUGCGCUCUCUCGAGGCGCUUAUACCGUCUCUCGGUUGCCAUCACCAUCGUCGAGGCGAAGAGAGGGAGGUGGUGGCUCGGCAAAGGGAUGCGCGCCGCAUCUGGGACAUGCUCGCCGUCCUCCUCGCUGCGGCAGAAGUCCGCCGCCAUCGCUUUCCAUCUCUCUCAACGUCUCGCUUACGAACCUCUAGCGCUGCCCCCUCCCCCAUUCCCCACUGCUGGCAUGCUGGAGCGAGGGGGCGGCCACGGCCAGAGUCGUCGUGGCAGCGACACCAUUUCUGCGCGUCUCCUCCAUGCAUGAGCCUUUCGUCGUUCGUCUCACCACCAUCACCUUCCCUGGCCUGACCUUGUCGGUCUUUGCUCUUCAACGGUGCAUCCUUCUGUGCGCACCACCCCUACUCAACAUCGAUGCACGCGCGCACACACGCCCACGCGUUGCAG
rnacentral:misc_RNA from 1 species